CAGUAGCCGCGGUAAUACGUAGGGUGCGAGCGUUAAUCGGAAUUACUGGGCGUAAAGCGUGCGCAGGCGGUUAUAUAAGACAGAUGUGAAAUCCCCGGGCUCAACCUGGGACCUGCAUUUGUGACUGUAUAGCUAGAGUACGGUAGAGGGGGAUGGAAUUCCGCGUGUAGCAGUGAAAUGCGUAGAUAUGUGGAGGAACACCGAUGGCGAAGGCAAUCCCCUGGACCUGUACUGACGCUCAUGCACGAAAGCGUGGGGAGCAAACAGGAUUAGAUACCCCCGUAGUCCCUGUCUCUUAUAC
rnacentral:rRNA from 1 species